GAUGAACGCUGGCGGCGUGCCUAAUACAUGCAAGUCGAGCGAACAGACGAGGAGCUUGCUCCUCUGACGUUAGCGGCGGACGGGUGAGUAACACGUGGAUAACCUACCUAUAAGACUGGGAUAACUUCGGGAAACCGGAGCUAAUACCGGAUAAUAUAUUGAACCGCAUGGUUCAAUAGUGAAAGACGGUUUUGCUGUCACUUAUAGAUGGAUCCGCGCCGCAUUAGCUAGUUGGUAAGGUAACGGCUUACCAAGGCAACGAUGCGUAGCCGACCUGAGAGGGGGAUCGGCCACACUGGAACGGAGCCACGGUCAAGACUCCUACGGGAGGCAGCAGUAGGGAAUCUUCCGCAAUGGGCGAAGCCUGACGGAGCAACGCCGCGUGAGUGAUGAAGGUCUUCGGAUCGUAAAACUCUGUUAUUAGGGAAGAACAAAUGUGUAAGUAACUAUGCACGUCUUGACGGUACCUAAUCAGAAAGCCACGGCUAACUACGUG
rnacentral:rRNA from 1 species